rnacentral:tRNA from 1 species
CAGAAAGUAGUUAAAUAUAUAAUUUUAAUUUUGGAUAUUAAAGAUGGGCAGGCUCCUUUCUGA